UACGGGAGAGGCAAGCGUUGUUCGGAAUCACUGGGCUUAAAGCGCGUGUAGGCGGCCUCGUAAGUACCUUGUGAAAGCCCUCGUCUCAACCGAGGAACUGCUUGGUAUACUGCGGGGCUUGAGGCAGGUAGGGGUGCUUGGAACUCUAGGUGGAGCGGUGAAAUGCGUAGAGAUCUAGGGGAACGCCGGUGGCGAAAGCGGAGCACUGGGCCUGACCUGACGCUGAGACGCGAAAGCGUGGGUAGCAAAC
rnacentral:rRNA from 1 species